ACGAACGCUGGCGGCGUGCUUAACACCUGCAAGUCGAACGGAAAGGCCCUGCUUUUGUGGGGUGCUCGAGUGGCGAACGGGUGAGUAACACGUGAGUAACCUGCCCUUGACUUUGGGAUAACUUCAGGAAACUGGGGCUAAUACCGGAUAGGAGCUCCUGCUGCAUGGUGGGGGUUGGAAAGUUUCGGCGGUUGGGGAUGGACUCGCGGCUUAUCAGCUUGUUGGUGGGGUAGUGGCUUACCAAGGCUUUGACGGGUAGCCGGCCUGAGAGGGUGACCGGGCACAAUGGGACUGAGAUACGGACCAGACUCCAACGGGAGGCAGCAGUGGGGAAUAUUGCACAAUGGGCGGAAGCCUGAUGCAGCAACGCCGCGUGCGGGAUGACGGCCUUCGGGUUGUAAACCGCUUUCGCCUGUGACGAAGCGUGAGUGACGGUAAUGGGUAAAGAAGCACCGGCUAACUACGUG
rnacentral:rRNA from 1 species